rnacentral:lncRNA from 1 species
CGACAUGUCGCACGCAAGACCCAGGUCCGUAGGUCAAAGGUCCUAAACUCUAACAUCGGCCAUAACUAUUCAUUCAAAGUGCCAUCGGUGGCAUGUGUCAUUUUAUGGAGACAGCUCUUGUUUUCCUACUUUUUCAUUCAAAUAAAUUGUGACAAAUUGUGUACAGUGGAAUUCAAUGUAUAACAAUAAACUGGGUUGCUAGGUAUCAGUAUUUCCAAUCUAAAGUAGCACAGUCCUUAAACUGGAUAUAGCCCAUUUCAAUUAUUUACCAUUGUCAUACAUUUUUAGCUCACCUGAGCCUUUGGCUCAUGGUGAGCUUUUGUGACUGCUCAAUGUCCGUCGUGUGUUGUGUUUCCAUCAACAUUUUCUAAAAAAAUCCUCUUCUUGAAAACCACUGGACAGAAUUACACUAUUUUAGCAUCAGUUUGCCAUUUGAAACAUGUGGCUCAUAUUACUCAGGUGAGCAAUCCAGGGUCAUCAUGACCCUCUUGUUAGAAUGAGGCAACUGUUUGCACAGGUUUUAUCUGGCAAGUUCAUGAUAAAAACCAUAUCUGUGGUGUUGAGGUUUUGUGAAAAAUGUUUGUUUUAUCAACUGUACAGAUCAAUACUCAUGAAUUUGUGAGUGGUGGUAUUUGCAUAUAUUAGUGAACAUAAUAUCAUUGCUAAUACAACUCGGUUUACAAUAUUUAAAAAUUUUAACAUUUCCAUACUUUGUGUAUUUUAGGUAUGGUUAAAGCUUUUAAUGUUUGAUUUCACCAAAUCGAUAAAAUGUAAACAGAGCACUAUUAAGGCAACAGCUUACAGCAGAUGGUAUUGGUUACUGCUGGAAUGUCAAGUAAUUAAGCUGGCCAUACCUAAGGUCCAAACGUAUGCUACAUAUGUACUUCUGGCAUCAUUCUGGUAUAAACAGGCUGUUUUUCAAGCUAGUGUCAUCUUUGUACAGGCAAACCAGAGUUAUAGAUCACCUCUGACUUAUGGCCACGACUAUAAAACCUGUCUAUAAAGAUCAGUUUUCUCUUCCCGUUUAACCAUUCAAAAUAACCUGUAUAGAGAGGCCACCUAUCAACAAAUACCACUUUUCAUUUCUCAAGGGUGUUGUUUUGAGACAGGUUUUACUGUUAUUCAGUUUUUGGCAACAGUACUUCAAGGUGUUUGUCCUAAUGUAAGGAUAUGUACUGUGUACUUGGAAAGCUAGGAUCAUCUUGACUACUUUAUAAUUUUGUGAAAAUACAAUUCUCAUAGCAUUUAAGUAGAUAAUUUUACAAUCUACUUCUUCUAUAUAUUUAACUGUUUUUUUUAAGACCAACAUUAUUUAAUUGGGAAAGUAUAUAUUGCAAUGAAAUAUCCAGACAGUAUAAUGACAUUGUGGAGGUAAAUCAAACAAGUUUUAGUAUUUAUGAUGUAAAUUUGCUUAAUUUUAAAUCAAGGAUUUUAUUAAAUCCUUUUAAAGCUUAUAGUUUUAAUAAUAAAUAAGAACUAGUGAGUUGUAUGAAGUAAAUACUGAUAUUUUAGUGUCGAUUUUU